AAAAACAUGUGAUAAAAAAAUAAAUGGUGGAUGGAAAGGGAAUACUCCAUCUUAUUCAUGCAAAAGAAACGAAUGUGAAGAAGAGAAAACUCUCCACGCCAUUUCUAGGGUUUUGAAGUUUAUAUUCAACAAUUGCUAACGUCGACUUGGAUUCCUCAAAAUGAAAGAGAAAAGGCAAGAUCUGAACUACCUUGAUUUUGUUGCAUUAUGAAUCAGUUGUAUGGUAAGAUCAUAAGGUGAGUUGGUAUUGAAAAAAAUCAAUUGAAUUGAUUUUAUUGAUAUUGUUGGAGACUAAAUUGAAUAUAUGUGAAAAUAUUGUAUUUUGAUAUAAAUGUGAAAUUGGGCCUAUAUUGUGAUGAA